rnacentral:rRNA from 1 species
AGAGUUUGAUCAUGGCUCAGAUUGAACGCUGGCGGCAGGCCUAACACAUGCAAGUCGAACGGUAACAGGAAGAAGCUUGCUUCUUUGCUGACGAGUGGCGGACGGGUGAGUAAUGUCUGGGAAACUGCCUGAUGGAGAGGGAUAACUACUGGAAACGGUAGCUAAUACCGCAUAACGUCGCAAGACCAAAGAGGGGGACCUUCGGGCCUCUUGCCAUCGGAUGUGCCCAGAUGGGAUUAGCUAGUAGGUGGGGUAACGGCUCACCUAGGCGACGAUCCCUAGCUGGUCUGAGAGGAUGACCAGCCACACUGGAACUGAGACACGGUCCAGACUCCUACGGGAGGCAGCAGUGGGGAAUAUUGCACAAUGGGCGCAAGCCUGAUGCAGCCAUGCCGCGUGUAUGAAGAAGGCCUUCGGGUUGUAAAGUACUUUCAGCGGGGAGGAAGGGAGUAAAGUUAAUACCUUUGCUCAUUGACGUUACCCGCAGAAGAAGCACCGGCUAACUCCGUGCCAGCAGCCGCGGUAAUACGGAGGGUGCAAGCGUUAAUCGGAAUUACUGGGCGUAAAGCGCACGCAGGCGGUUUGUUAAGUCAGAUGUGAAAUCCCCGGGCUCAACCUGGGAACUGCAUCUGAUACUGGCAAGCUUGAGUCUCGUAGAGGGGGGUAGAAUUCCAGGUGUAGCGGUGAAAUGCGUAGAGAUCUGGAGGAAUACCGGUGGCGAAGGCGGCCCCCUGGACGAAGACUGACGCUCAGGUGCGAAAGCGUGGGGAGCAAACAGGAUUAGAUCCCCUGGUAGUCCACGCCGUAAACGAUGUCGACUUGGAGGUUGUGCCCUUGAGGCGUGGCUUCCGGAGCUAACGCGUUAAGUCGACCGCCUGGGGAGUACGGCCGCAAGGUUAAAACUCAAAUGAAUUGACGGGGGCCCGCACAAGCGGUGGAGCAUGUGGUUUAAUUCGAUGCAACGCGAAGAACCUUACCUGGUCNGUGAGACAGGUGCUGCAUGGCUGUCGUCAGCUCGUGUUGUGAAAUGUUGGGUUAAGUCCCGCAACGAGCGCAACCCUUAUCCUUUGUUGCCAGCGGUCCGGCCGGGAACUCAAAGGAGACUGCCAGUGAUAAACUGGAGGAAGGUGGGGAUGACGUCAAGUCAUCAUGGCCCUUACGACCAGGGCUACACACGUGCUACAAUGGCGCAUACAAAGAGAAGCGACCUCGCGAGAGCAAGCGGACCUCAUAAAGUGCGUCGUAGUCCGGAUUGGAGUCUGCAACUCGACUCCAUGAAGUCGGAAUCGCUAGUAAUCGUGGAUCAGAAUGCCACGGUGAAUACGUUCCCGGGCCUUGUACACACCGCCCGUCACACCAUGGGAGUGAGUUGCAAAAGAAGUAGGUAGCUUAACCUUCGGGAGGGCGCUUACCACUUUGUGAUUCAUGACUGGGGUGAAGUCGUAACAAGGUAACCGUAGGGGAACCUGCGGUUG